GACGAACGCUGGCGGCGUGCUUAACACAUGCAAGUCGAACGGAAAGGCCCUGCUUUUGUGGGGUGCUCGAGUGGCGAACGGGUGAGUAACACGCGAGUAACCUGCCCUUGACUUUGUGAUAACUUCAGGAAACUGGGGCUAAUACCGGAUAGGAGCUCCUGCUGCAUGGUGUGGGUUGGAAAGUUUCGGCGGUUGGGGAUGGACUCGCGGCUUAUCAGCUUGUUGGGGGGGUAGUUGCUUACCAAGGCUUUGACGGGUAGCCGGCCUGAGAGGGUGACCGGCCACAUUGGGACUGAGAUACGGCCCAGACUCCUACGGGAGGCAGCAGUGGGGAAUAUUGCGCAAUGGGCGGAAGCCUGAUGCAGCAACGCCGGGUGCGGGAUGACGGCUUUCGGGUUGUAAACCGCUUUCGCCUGUGACGAAGCGUGAGUGACGGUAAUGGGUAAAGAAGCAACGGCUAACUACGUG
rnacentral:rRNA from 1 species